CAGAUCUAUGCAGCUGUUUUUGAACGAAUGUGCUUGAGUUGCAGUCGCAUGCUGAAGCAGUCAUUCCAGACUGGCACCCUGUUUCAAGUUUCAGAGGUGGUGAUGUGACAGUGCAAGAUACAGAGCCAACGUUCCAAGGAAGCAGCUAGGUCAGACUCUGGCUGAUCACGGAUAUAUGACAGAAUUUGUACUACAUUUCGAUUUCAUAGGGCUAUUUUCGAUUCUUUUGAAAGAUCAUUAGAAUUGUAGGAUGGGAGGUGGCUACUGAGUAUUGUGGUACCAAAUAGAAGAGAUUCUAGCAGUGCCAUCUGUCUACUCAGAAGGGCUUUAUCUAACUGGGCUAGAAGCAUACGGCAGCAUCCAGACUGUACAGGAUAUGGUGUUCUUCACAUUGCAGUGAUGCUGUGGCCAUCGUUGAUAUUAGCCUUGAACAUACCAUCUGAAGCACACUCUCU